AUUCAUUUAAAAUUAUAAAUCUAUCUUGUUUCUAUUUACUAUUGAACUAUUUGUCAGACUCUAAAGAGCUUUUAGGUCAACUUGCUGGAUAGAUUUAACAGGAAAUUUCGAACCAGAGAAUGAAGUGCAAUUUUAAACCUAACCAGAAGCAGUUACGAAAAAUGCAGCUAUAGGCCUUCUGACAGGAAUCGUGCAGCCCGGAGAUUUCGGAGAAGCGCUCAAACCAGCUCAGGUCUUAGUCCAAUUGUCGUGAUCUCAGAUGGCUGCACGUCAAUCGCAAGGUCGCAGGUUCGAUUACUGGCCGAGGGCAUGUGGUUGCAUUUUUUGUACCUGCUUCUCUUAUAGAUCUAAAAUUGUACAGUAUAAUGUAAUCUUGAACUAGGAAUUCCAAGCAUCUACAAAUUUAAAUUAUUCAACUACUUAGCAGGAAUUUGAAUAAACUAUUGAUAUAUUUAAUAAGAAA